rnacentral:lncRNA from 1 species
UUAAUUUCUCUGUAAACAAGUUUCUUAAAAGCUUUAAAUCAUUAUCAGCACUAUAAUGCAUAAGCUUGCUCAACCUUAAGUAUUUUUCUGAAGUGCCUGCUUAUAUAAGAAGUAUAGCUCAGCGUUUGCAACACAACAAAAUACUUUUAAUACCCACUUCAGACUUGAAACCACAAUGCAAGCAUGCUUCAGACAAUCAGAGAAGAAAAUCGUUUAAAAGCAAGAAGCAGUAAAAAGCAAGCAAUCAUUAAUCCAGAAAGUACAGCAAACUAGACGACAGGAAGCAUGAAAAUCUAAUAGACUAACGGUUCUUGCAAGAGCAAAUGAAAAGUGGUUAAGCAUGGAGAGCGCGGAAAAGCAUAAUAAUGAGAACUUACUGUAGAGCAGCAUAGAAGUACGAGGAAGAAAAUGGGCAAAACUUUGCUGACUGCCGGGGUGUCAUGGGUUAGAUACACGGGCGGUGGGUGGUCUAUUCGGACGGCCUAGCCUAUAAUCCAGCAGGCGAAUCGAGUGCAGCGAAGCAACGAAAUGUAAUCACCAUUCAAUUUGCUUCCUAUUUAUAUAGUUGGGCAAAUAUAUACCGACUUUUGUGGCAAAUCGUAGAAAAAGUGUGAAGCAGACACAUAAAAAAUGGCGAAUAAAAAGCGAGGUAAACAAUGUUGAGCCAUAGAGUGGUUGCGGAUUGCAAGCGGCGGCCAACAAGAAGUUCUAAUAGGCACGAACAAGCACAACAGACACUCAACGAACAGUAUACGAGCAUGCACGCCUAGAAGUUAGGUGGCAGAAGGAGGCAGUCAACAAUUCUUUAGGCGACUACACGCGUCACUGCAAUUGCAAUUGUUUGGCGACCGAAGCAAAGCAGAAAAUAAGAAGUUGCAAGCGCAAGUCAUGCCAUUGUUGCAGGCAAUGCAAUGAAGUAAUGCAACAUUGUGCUGGCAAUGGCAACAAACUCAACCAAGCGCCGAGUCCAAGUAGGCAGGCAAGUAAGUGUGUGCUAUUACUAUGCAAGCCGGCUAGAGAAUCUUCAAGUGUCGUUAGCACUUGUGCGAGCGCGCGAACGUUAGCUGACUGGCUAAUUGCGGUCGGGCUGACUGACUGACGUCUUGACUGCUUGCAUGGCUAGUUGCUGUUGUUGUAGCUUGCAUGGCUGCUCACGCUCGCUGCUAAGCUGACUGUUGGUUUGCUUGGUUAGCUAAAUAGCGGCUGGAGUGUUUCAAUGGCGGACUUGUAACUAUGCUCCAUGCCACUUUACAAUAUAAUUUUACAAAUAUUGUAUUGCUAAUGUUGUGGCCGCUGAUCUACAAGCGCGAUAAUAAUGCAUUAUCGGCUCAUUUGUUUGUGCACUUAAUGUGAUUGAGCGAAUGUGCUGUACAUGAUAGAAAAACAGCUAGAUUUCUCAUACUUGUAUGCAUAAUAAGUGCGUAAUUAAAGCGGCGGGGAUUUCAUAAGAAUAUCUUGAAAAAUAAUGUAUUCGAAAUAUAAUAUAAAAACGCUGUAGCUUUAGCUACAAUAAUGGCUUCAAACGCUCAAAACCAUUGAGGUUGCAUUAGCUUUAAGCUGUAGUUGAAUUACCCCUUGACAUCAAGUAAAUAUGCUUUGUAGUUCAUAAAAAUGUUAUAACAAUUUUUAUGAGAAAUUUUAUAGCAAAUUUUCAUAACGGGCUUGAGCUUGAAAGCAUGUUUGUACUAAUUUAGUGCUAUGCUGUCAGUGCUAAUGCGGAAACUGUAAAUAAUUAUUUAGAAUAGAUUGCAAAAUGUUAAUUUUUGAAAAAGUUAGUGUUAUCUCAAGAGUUGUAAAUGCAAAGAUAAUGAAUAUUUUUAUCUAAAUAAAGUAGAAACACGUGUUUUGUAAUA